UACGUAGGUUGCGAGCGUUGUCCGGAUUUACUGGGCGUAAAGCGCGCGCAGGCGGUCUUGAAAGUCGAAUGUGAAAGCUCCCGGCCCAACUGGGAGAGGCCGUUCGAAACUUCGAGACUUGAAGGCGGGAGAGGCAGAUGGAAUUCCGGUGUAGCGGUAAAAUGCGUUAGAUACCGGAAGGAACACCAGUGGCGAAAGCGAUCUGCUGGCCCGCCCUUGACGCUCAGGCGCGAAAGCUAGGGGAGCGACCGGG
rnacentral:rRNA from 1 species